rnacentral:rRNA from 1 species
AUUCCAGCUCCAAUAGCGUAUAUUAAAGUUGUUGCAGUUAAAAAGCUCGUAGUUGGAUUUCUGUUUCUGGGAUCUGGUCCGCCUCACGGUGAGCACUGGAUAACUGGGGACAUCCUCUCGAAGGCGGCGGGUGCACUUGAUUGUGUGUUUGUUGAAUUCGGGACCUUUACUUUGAAAAAAUUAGAGUGUUCAAAGCAGGCGUCGGCUUGAAUACAUUAGCAUGGAAUAAUGGAAUAGGACUUUGGUUCUAUUUUGUUGGUUUCUAGGACCGAAGUAAUGAUUAAUAGGGACAGUUGGGGGCAUUAGUAUUUAAUUGUCAGAGGUGAAAUUCUUGGAUUUAUGAAAGACUAACUACUGCGGAAGCAUUUGCCAAGGAUGUUUUCAUCA